rnacentral:piRNA from 1 species
UCAAGAAUUACGGAUGCCGCC